UCCCUGGUGGCUCAGAGGUUGAAAAGCGUCUGCCUGCAAUGCGGGAGAUCCAGGUUCGAUCCCUGGGUUGGGAA
rnacentral:tRNA from 1 species